UGAAUUCCCUGUAUUCGAAGCGGAAGAAGAUGAUGUUGAAGGGACUCCUGACGAGAUUUCCCAACUUCUUGAGCAAGAAAAGAAGAUCACUCAGCUGCAUCUCGAGAAUCAGCAGAACAGCCAACUGGGGCAUUACAAAAAAGAAAAAAAAGAAAAAAAAAGAAAGAGAGGAGGGUGCAAAAUCAAAAGAAAUCAAAAGAAAUCCAAAUCAAAAGAAAGAAAAAGAAAGAAAGAAACAAAAGAAAAAAU
rnacentral:lncRNA from 1 species